rnacentral:rRNA from 1 species
CGUUUUGAAUCUUCUUGGAUCACUUGAUCCCAUUACAAUUCCACAUUGAAGUGCACUCGAGCUAGAGUAGUUAUGGGAUGGGUGACCACCUGGGAAGUCCUAGUGUUUUACAUGC